rnacentral:rRNA from 1 species
UUAAGCAUAUCAAAAUGGCGGAGGAA